GGAAACGUGGAUUAAUACCUCAUAGUAUUAUAGACUGGCCUCAGUUUAUGAUUAAAGGUUACGGUAAGAGAUGAGCAUGCGUCCUAUUAGCUAGAUGGUAAGGUAACGGCUUACCAUGGCUACGAUAGGUAGGGGUCCUGAGAGGGAGAUCCCCCACACUGGUACUGAGACACGGACCAGACUCCUACGGGAGGCAGCAGUGAGGAAUAUUGGACAAUGGGCGAGAGCCUGAUCCAGCCAUGCCGCGUGCAGGAAGACGGCCCUAUGGGUUGUAAACUGCUUUUACAGAGGAAGAACCCUCCUUACGUGUAAGGAGCUGACGGUACUCUAUGAAUAAGGAUCGGCUAACUCCGUGCCAGCAGCCGCGGUAAUACGGAGGAUCCAAGCGUUAUCCGGAAUCAUUGGGUUUAAAGGGUCCGUAGGCGGGUCUAUAAGUCAGUGGUGAAAGUCUGCAGCUUAACUGUAGAACUGCCAUUGAUACUGUAGACCUUGAAUUAGUAUGAAGUGGUUAGAAUGUGUAGUGUAGCGGUGAAAUGCAUAGAUAUUACACAGAAUACCGAUUGCGA
rnacentral:rRNA from 1 species